rnacentral:rRNA from 1 species
CAGUCGUACCGACGAGAAAUCAGCUCCUUGAGUGCGAACUUGUGAGCGUGUGUGAGCUUUAAACCCUCGCUGUUUGCAAUGUUUGUGCUUUUUGGGUGUACUUUUUCGUAUGGUAGGCCAACGUCAGUUUUGGUCGCUAUAAAAUGACCGGAGGAAUGUAGCUUCGAUCUCGUAUUGAAGUGUUAUAGUCCUUUGGUAGAUGUGGUGAUUGAUACUGAGGAUUGCAACGGAUACCUUUUGGGCUAUCCGUCUAGACCUCUG